AGAUUGAACGCUGGCGGCAUGCUUUACACAUGCAAGUCGAACGGUAACAGGCCGCAAGGUGCUGACGAGUGGCGAACGGGUGAGUAAUGCAUCGGAACGUGCCCAGUCGUGGGGGAUAACGCAGCGAAAGCUGUGCUAAUACCGCAUACGAUCUAUGGA
rnacentral:rRNA from 1 species